rnacentral:rRNA from 1 species
UUAUAUGAGAGUUUGAUCCUGGCUCAGGAUGAACGCUGGCGGCGUGCCUAAUACAUGCAAGUCGAACGAGUUCUGAUUAUUGAAGGGUGCUUGCAUCUUGAUUUAAUUUUGAACGAGUGGCGGACGGGUGAGUAACACGUGGGUAACCUGCCCUUAAGUGGGGGAUAACAUUUGGAAACAGAUGCUAAUACCGCAUAAAUCCAAGAACCGCA